CGAGCGGAUGAAGGGAGCUUGCUCCCGGAUUUAGCGGCGGACGGGUGAGUAAUGCCUAGGAAUCUGCCUGGUAGUGGGGGACAACGACUCGAAAGGGUCGCUAAUACCGCAUACGUCCUACGGGAGAAAGUGGGGGAUCUUCGGACCUCACGCUAUCAGAUGAGCCUAGGUCGGAUUAGCUAGUAGGUGAGGUAAUGGCUCACCUAGGCAACGAUCCGUAACUGGUCUGAGAGGAUGAUCAGUCACACUGGAACUGAGACACGGUCCAGACUCCUACGGGAGGCAGCAGUGGGGAAUAUUGCACAAUGGGGGAAACCCUGAUGCAGCCAUGCCGCGUGUGUGAAGAAGGCCUUCGGGUUGUAAAGCACUUUCAGUUGUGAGGAAAAGUUAGUAGUUAAUACCUGCUAGCCGUGACGUUAACAACAGAAGAAGCACCGGCUAACUCCGUGCCAGCAGCCGCGGUAAUACGGAGGGUGCGAGCGUUAAUCGGAAUUACUGGGCGUAAAGCGCACGCAGGCGGUUUGUUAAGCUAGAUGUGAAAGCCCCGGGCUCAACCUGGGAUAGUCAUUUAGAACUGGCAGACUAGAGUCU
rnacentral:rRNA from 1 species